UUCCCAGUUUAGAUUGCCCCGCCCUGCCCUGUGGAGCUGUUCCUCCCUCUCUCCCUCCUCCCCUCCUUCAGAGCCUCCCUUUCGCGUCUCCCGGUUGCUCUUUCAUUAAAAAUGAUCAAAGAGAAGCAAAUCUUCUGUGUUUAACUGAAGGGAGACGGAGCUUUUGGACUCACCUGGAAACAGAGAAGCAGGCUGAGGCAGUGAUCCAGAACAUCGGAGAUAGUUGCAGAGAGCAUCCUUUACAAAGGAACAGAACAUAUAAAGCCAAAUCUCCUCCCCUCACUGUCCUGUAACCACUCCUCAGUGGGUUGUUUCUACUUCAGAAUUCAGAGCUUCAAGUCCAGGAAAGGGAUGGAAAGUGCCCAUUUGGAUGGAUGUCAACAGGAAGCAUCCUAGUAGUGAACUACCAAAAAGGGAAACCAGAGCAGGCCACUGGGCUUCCGGCCACUGAGCCUCUACCAAUUGUAAUAUUGUGGAUGAGAGAUGGGAAAUGUCUGCAGCAGUGCUGGAGAAGGUAGGACUGCUGAACUGUCAAUCAAGGAGGACAUUCUAAUUGGAAUGAUGACCAGGAAGGACUGUUAAAGAAGGAAAAGACAAGCUGAGAAACUUGGUCUCUUGCCCUUGGGACAGAAAAGUCCUGCUCACUGAUUUCUUUCUACAAUAUUCAAGUGACUGAAUCUUCAAACCUGUUGGCCAAUUUCCCAAAACCUAGACUAUUCCACCAUCCUCCAACUUAGGAAUUAUUUUAGGAUUAGGGAAACCUCAACCCCUCUCUCCCCUCAACGACCCUACUUUUCCCCUUCUCCUAAAUAAACCCCUUUUGUUUAAAGUUA